rnacentral:lncRNA from 1 species
GGAGCUACCAUUUGAUUUUUAUGGGGGGGCUAGGAUGAAAAAUUUUGUCCUGCUUUUUUUUUUAGUUGUAAUCUCUGUCCUGCCUUUUUAUUUUUUACUAUAUGCGGUCCUGCCUUUUUUUUUACUAGUUUAUCCUGACUUUUUUUACACAAAUUGUCAUCCUGACUUUUUUUUUUUUGCAAGGGUCUCAUCCUGCCUUUUUUUUUAACUCAAAACUCCUGUCCUGCCUAUUUUUUUCAAAUUUCAUCCUAGCCCCCCCAUAAAAAUCAAAUGGUAGCUCCCUUACGUUCGU